CCUACGGGAGGCAGCAGUAGGGAAUAUUGGACAAUGGACGCAAGUCUGAUCCAGCCAUCCCGCGUGAAGGAUUAAGGCCCUAUGGGUUGUAAACUUCUUUUCUUUGGGAAUAAAAAGCGGUAUUCAUAUCGCCUUGAAGGUACCAGAGGAAUAAGCACCGGCUAACUCCGUGCCAGCAGCCGCGGUAAUACGGAGGGUGCAAGCGUUAUCCGGAUUCACUGGGUUUAAAGGGUGCGUAGGUGGCUUUGUAAGUCAGCGGUGAAAGCCUGGAGCUCAACUCCAGAAUUGCCAUUGAUACUGCAGAGCUUGAAUCAAGUUGAGGUGGAUGGAAUAUUACAUGUAGCGGUGAAAUGCUUAGAUAUGUAAUAGAACACCGAUUGCGAAGGCAGUUCACUAAGCUUGUAUUGACACUGAGGCACGAAAGCGUGGGGAUCAAACAGGAUUAGAUACCCUGGUAGUCCACGCCCUAAACGAUGCAAACUCGACAUUAGCGAUAUACAGUUAGUGUCCAAGCGAAAGCGUUAAGUUUGCCACCUGGAAGUACGACCGCAAGUUGAAACUCAAAGGAAUUGACGG
rnacentral:rRNA from 1 species